AGUCCUGCCACCUCACCUGUUCUAUGGACGUGACUGUUUCCACCGAGUCGUCCUGCAACCGCUCUCGCGCGUGCUCGGGCCUCAGACUGUACAGCGGCUCUGACCAGACGGGGGAGGAAGAUGGAGGGCAAUAGUAGGUGAAAGAACUCGGAGAAGCCAUGAUCAGGAGAGCAGCAGACAGUGUGUAGGACUCUGCUUCGUUAAGCAACAACGCGCAUUGAAACUCGAGCGGGCUAAAGCGCUACGGCGAGCGGAUAGAGGCAAAAAGAUUUUGAACGCGAAUGUCUCCUCCCGCCUACCCGUCUUUCGAGUGAGUUACUGAGAUGCUGCCGCCCCCCAUUGGGCAGAGGAGCUGCUGCAAGAGCGUAGAGUCCUGAAGCGCAAGGGUGUCUACAUCCGAAUUUCAUUUCAGCGAGAUGGCGUAGGACGCCUCGGUGCCCAAGAACCCAAUGAAUGUUAAGUUUGAAAGCAUUUCUGACAGCUCUACUGAUUUGCCUCAGUCAGGCAAUUACUAAAAGAAUUAUUGUGCACCUUGGGGUACUUGACAGCCUCCCAGGAGAAGGCAGCAGCUGCUCAAACGUGCAAGGACGCCGUCUCAGUAUCACUCAGUGAUGGAGGGAGGGGGGUAUUAUGAUUUUCUCCUGUCUCUUGGAGGUUACACUGCAGUAGCGAGAACUGAAAUGCAGUACAAGGAACAAGGAUAAGUGAAAUAGACAGUCAGUCCGCAGAUAUUUAUGGAACACCUGCUAUGUGUCAGGCAUUGUGCUAGGUUCUAGGAAUACAAAAGUGAACAAAACGAAGUCCCUUCCCUUGGAAACCUUACAUUCUAAGAAAAUCGACAGAAUUGAAUGUAUCCAACGCAAUAAAUAUAUGAAGACUUGUGAUAAAUGAGAUGAAGGAAAAUAACAGGGUCUAUGAGAGAGACUAAAGGGGUAAGAAACUAAUUGAAUUGUAUGGUCAGGCCAAGCCUCUCUAAAUGACCUUUCAUUUGAGAUCCGAAGGAUGACGAGGAGUCAUCCAGAAGAACAGUAUGGGAAAGAACUCCUGAAAAAGGAAGAAACAGCAGCUUUUAGAAGACAUGUGCUGGGCACGGUGGCUCACGCCUGUAACCCCAGCACUUUGGGAGGCUGAGGCAGGAGGAUCACUUGAGGAGUUAGAACAUCCUGGGCAACAUAGCAAGACCUCAUCUCUAUUAAAUAUCAAAAAAAUUAGCCGGGCGUGGUGGCGCAUGCCUGUAGUCCCAGCUGCUCGACAGGCUAAGGUGGGAGGAUCUCUUGAGCCCAAGAAGUCGAGGCUGCAGUGAGCUAUGAUUGUGCCACUGCACUCCAGCCUGGGUGGCAGAGCGAGACCCUGUUUCAAAAAAAAAAAAAAAGCAAAACAAAAAAACAAACAAAAACCAUAGGCUCAAGUGACCCUCCUGCCUCAGCCUCCUGAGUAUCUGGAACUACAGAUGCUCACCACCACGCCCAGCUAGAAUAAAAGAAAUUCUUAUUGA